UCUAAAAUAAUAAGCUUAAACCCCCCACCACACACACACACACACCUCCCCUAAACAAAAACUUAAAUCAAACCCAUCAACACAACCCACAACCAACUUACUUAUCUCUUUCCCUUUCUCUCUCUUAAAAAAAUUGUAUCUGAUUCUUGAGUCUUUUUUUUUUUUUUAAAAAAAAUUCUUGCAUUCCCGGUUUUCGCACUGUUCGAUUUAACAUUUUUAUCCCCUUGAUUCUUUUCUGCAUGUCUUUGUAUCUAAAUUUUAAUCUGAGAUUUUAAUUUUCUUUUUUUGUUGUUGAAUUUUCACAAAUACCCAAAAAAGAAAAACCCUAAAGAUGUGAAAAUAAAAAACCUGGAAACUAGUACAGUUGCAGAUCUGAAAGAAAGACAGGAAACCCUUGUUUUUGCAAAAAUUCAGUGGGUACUGAAAUAUUACCCAAUUUGGUAAGUCGUUUUUUUACAAAUGGGUGGGAGGAGUGAGAAAUUGACAGAAGAGAGUGAGCACAGAAAGGCAGAAAUGGUAUACAUAGCAAACCCAAACCAACACCAGAAAUCAUACAUUUAAUUUCCAAAGAUCGAAACAUAGAGUUGGGGUUGAAGAUUAUUGGUAUACUAUUCCUUUUUUGUGCUCACUGCUCUUUCUGUCAGCUUCCCUUCCAACUCCAACCCCACCCGAACCCCUAUCCAUUAUAUGUUCAUACGCAACUUAACCCUUCUCAUCAUUAUUAUCGAUUACGAGGGUGAGGGAUAGCUCAAGUGGUUAGAGCUUCAUCCUAAAAAUUACUAUUGAUUACUAAUAACACUAUAUCGGUAUGUUUUUCUUUUCCCUUAUUUUUUAUUUUGAUAAAAUAGUUUGUUGUUUUAGUAAAACUAUUUUUGCAAAUUCCAAUAUAUAGCGUGACUUUUGAGUGGGAUUUUUAAACUAAUCACUUUAUACAGUACAGGACCAUGCUAAUCAGCUUCAUAUAGCCUACCUAAUUCACAUUAUUAGGUUACCUUGUUUUUUUUUUUUUCUUUGCUUGAUUCGUUUCUAUGUUGUUGGUUGCGCAUGGAUCAUAUCGUUUCUAUGGUCCCCGUACAUUGGUUCACGGCCGUGCCCGUGCCCGUGUUGGUACCCGUCGAUUCGUCUGAGUCCAUCCAUGGCUUCUUUUGAGGACAAGCUGACAUGAUCAUCUGUCUCUCACUUCCAACUUGUUUGUUGCAACAAUUUGUUCGUAUUUGCAGCUCACCAUUUAUAUGGAACACCAGAAAUUGAAUUAAUCAUACUCGAAUCGAAUCAUUGACAAUGUACUUGUCAAAGACGAUUCCUCAGCUCCUUUCUUUUGCUGAUGUGAAAACAAAUGAAGGUGAACAUCAUUUUGAGAACACUUGAAUAUAAUUAUGUGGCCCUUAAGAGUGCUAAUUGCUUCAGCAGGUACGCUUGUACUAUUGCACCAUCUAUGUUGCUUGGACUCAGGUACCCAUGUCCGACACAGGUAUGUGUCCAAGCGUGCGACUCAGCUAUUUUGUGAAAAAAUUCUAUGAUUUUGAACUAAAAGUGAAGUGUCCGAGUGUCAUACCCAUGUCCGAGUAUCGAGGAUCCGACACAGCAAGGGUGUUAGAUAUAUAUGCCUCCAGAAAGUGAGAAAAGGUUUUGACAUGGUAUUAUUAUUCUUCACAAUUGCCUUGUUAGUUGUUAAAUGAGCUUAUGCAAGCUAGAGACUCCUGAUUACAGGUCUAAGUCUCCUUACCUCCGGAUAAAUAUUACCUAGGAGUUUUGGUUCUUUUUACAGGCUGCUUAACUUAUUGUUGCUUAACCUAUUUGGUCCUUUUUGCAGGUUUGCUUAACCAAAUAGGAGGUUUUCAUUCUCCCAAAGUUCUUGUUUGGUAUAUUCUCUGUUGCUAUGAAAGAGUGUGUUAUGAUUUUAAAAUUACUCGAAACAGAAUCAUGCACAAUGAAAUAGAUCCAUGGUAAGACUUACUGUGUAUUUUAAAUUACUCGAACCACAAACACAAUGACCAUUGAGACAAAGCCUUAUGUUUUUAUAACCUGCCUAAAUAUUGGGAUUGCAACAGAUCUUAUGGUAGAGAUGGCUCUUGGAGCUCAAGAUAAAUUAGUUGAUUAUAUGAUAAUUAGCUAGGAAAACACACUAUUAGAUUCCAUUAAGUAAAAAAGCAUCAGUUCCUUAAACUAAUAGCUCCAUUAAAAUCGGUAAGAUGCCCCGUUAAAAUUGAUUGCCCUAGCCUACCAAAUAGACAUACUCUAGUUGGAUAUUCUCCCGGAUAUUGUUACGAUUGAAGGGAUAAGAUAAGGUUUUUUUUUAUUUAAUUUUUUAUUUGGUCAAAAUUUGAUUGUGGAAGUUGGUCUCCUAUGUUUCUUGAGACGUAGUUGUAUAUUGUUUUCUUGAUUUUGAUGGUUAAUAAUCUUCUCUACCUUGAUCCAAAAAAAAAAAAAAAAAAGAAAAUUAGUGGGCAUGCAACAUUGCCAACUAACCAACCUAAAUAUUUAUUAAUAAAAAAGUGGGCCCUUGUAUUUUUUUUUUGUUUCUGAAAAAGGGCCCUUGUAUUUUUUAAUACUGCUUUUUUUAAUUUAAUUUAUUUAUUCUAUUUGUUGUGUGUGGUGACUUUUAUUUGUGAAGAUAUGGGACAUUAAAACAUUACACCACUAGCUGGUGUUAGGUCGUUACCUUCUACUAGUGGGGUUAAGUCAUCUUCUUGGCUGGGUUGGGUGUUGUUUCAAGUAACAUAUAUGGCGUAAAGAGAGCCGUGCUUCGAUCGUGCCAUUUUAAUUUGGUCUUUUAGUGUGUGCAACACCAUAUCUUUUCGUAAGCAGUGGAUACUGGAUAAGGCACUAUAGCUAUUUCUUUUAGUGGUCGACUUGUCAAUAUUGCCCAUUCUAAUGAUCACAAUUGGAAUGUUGUUUUUCUUUAGCUAGGGUGAUUUGUGACUUCUUAAAUUUGCCUGGCCUAUUGUAAGUUUACUAGAAGUAUGUAUCUGACUGUUUCUUUUAGUUGUUGAUAUCCCCACUAGAGCGAGAAAUCAUUUGUUUUUCUAACUUGAAUUAGCCACUUUUGUAUCUUGUCUUCUAACUCUCAAGCUGGGGCUACCGAGUAGAGGAUAAACCGAUAAAGGUCUAGCACUUAGUUGCUAAAUAUGUGGUGGAACUUCAAAAUGUAGCUCUAUUAAGUGUGUCUUCUUCUUCUUCUUCUUCUUCUUCAUUCAUCUAUGACUCCAACAUUCAGAUAGAAAACACAUAUUAGAUUGAGCUCAGCUCGUAUUCUCUUAUAGUACAAGGCAAUUAGAAACUGUCUAGAUUUGAUCUGUAUAUUAUAUUUGAAUUCUGCUCAUAUAUAAGUAAUACAAUGUUCUAUUUGAAUUCUGCCCAUAAUUAUUCUUUAUGUUGAGCUAAAUUUUUUUUCAUAGUAAUGUCUUUUGCUUUACUGUGUGUGAUUCUUAUAUAAAAUAAGAGUUUGUUUUGUAUAUAUUGAACUUACCUUUACAACUCCAAUAACUUGUAUUGACAUUAGACACACUUUUUCUUCAAACAAUUUGAGACUUAAAGGAGGGGUACACCGUACACAUACCUGUGAGAACCAGAUAUCAGAUGGAUUUUGUUGUUUUCAUCAGUGUACUUGAAGAAAUUGUGUGUGCCAGAAACGGUCAAGUUUCUUUCUUUUUCACUCAUUUUUUUCUCUCCUUGUUUUCUGGAAGUGAAGUAAAACUUAAUUUGGUUUGAAUUAUCUUCAGUUCUAUCUUUUUAUUUUUUGGGAGUAUAAAAUGUAGCUAGUAUUCUGCUAUCUCUACUAUUUGUUUUACAGUCUGUUACUUUACUCUAUUAUAAAAUGUGUCAUGGAACA